UUCUUUCACUGACUUUGCCCUCAGUCCUUUUCAGAAGAUCAUCCAACAUGUUUCUCUUCAGUUGGACAUUUUCAUUAUUCAUCGGCAUUUCUUUUGCAAACACAAUAAAACCAUUAUCUUCUGAAAAGCAUGUUUUCAGAGGUGAAAAAGUGACUCUUACUUGUGACUACAGUGGCAAUGUAGAUAAUCUGCAGUGGUAUCGUCAAUAUCCUGGAUCUCGACCCGAGCACCUUAUUCUCGUCACAGAAUAUUCAGCACCUGAUCUUUCACUUCGUCUGUCAGCAAAAGCUUCAAAAGAUCUAAAACAAGUGACUCUUACAAUCUCCUCUGCUGAAGAAACAGAUUCUGCUCUGUAUUACUGUGCCCUGGAGCCCACAGUGACAGGAAACACAUGAACACUGUACAAAAACCUGCCAUAACCACUCUUAUGUUAACUUUGGUUUGUAAACCUAAGGAGAAAUAGUUAUGGUCAUCAGAGAAUAAAAAAGUAAUUAGUUUGUUGUUUCACACUUUACUCACUUAGCCCAGACAGGGGUGCUGUGCACUAAGAAUUACAAUGCUCCUCAUGCUUAUAAUGAUCUCAAAAUUCACCACACAACUUUCUGAAUAAUAUACAGAGUACAGUAGCUUAGCAUGAUGGUUAAUUAAAACA